rnacentral:rRNA from 1 species
GACGAACGCUGGCGGCGUGCUUAACACAUGCAAGUCGAACGGAAAGGCCCUGCUUUUGUGGGGUGCUCGAGUGGCGAACGGGUGAGUAACACGUGAGUAACCUGCCCUUGACUUUGGGAUAACUUCAGGAAACUGGGGCUAAUACCGGAUAGGAGCUCCUGCUGCAUGGUGGGGGUUGGAAAGUUUCGGCGGUUGGGGAUGGACUCGCGGCUUAUCAGCUUGUUGGUGGGGUAGUGGCUUACCAAGGCUUUGACGGGUAGCCGGCCUGCGAGGGUGACCGGCCACAUUGGGCCUGAGAUACGGCCCAGACUCCUACGGGAGGCAGCAGUGGUGAAUAUUGCACAAUGGGCGGAAGCCUGAUGCAGCCACGCCGCGUGCGGGAUGACGGCCUUCGGGUUGUAAACCGCUUUCGCCUGUGACGAAGCGUGAGUGACGGUAAUGGGUAAAGAAGCACCGGCUAACUACGUG